AUGUUCUCUGUAGCUCUGCUGCUGCUGCUGGUUGGUUCCUGUGUGAAAUGUGAACAUUUGAAUCAACCAACCUCUGUGACUCUGCAGCCAGGUCAACGUCUGACCAUCAGAUGUCAGGUCUCUUAUUCUCUGAACAGCUACUGGACAGCUUGGAUCAGACAGGCUGCUGGGAAAGGGCUGGAAUGGAUUGGAUGGAAACUUGGUGGUGGAGCUUCAAACUACAAAGAUUCAUUGAAGAAUAAAUUCAGUAUUGAUGUAGACACUUCCAGUAGCACAGUGACUCUGAAUGGAGAGAAUAUGCAGCCUGAAGACUCUGCUGUGUAUUACUGUGCCAGAGAACCACAGUGA